rnacentral:rRNA from 1 species
AGUGAACGCUGGCGGUAGGCCUAACACAUGCAAGUCGAACGGCAGCACAGUAGGAGCUUGCUCUUACGGGUGGCGAGUGGCGGACGGGUGAGGAAUACAUCGGAAUCUACUUUUUCGUGGGGGAUAACGUAGGGAAACUUACGCUAAUACCGCAUACGACCUACGGGUGAAAGCAGGGGAUCUUCGGACCUUGCGCGAUUGAAUGAGCCGAUGUCGGAUUAGCUAGUUGGCGGGGUAAAGGCCCACCAAGGCGACGAUCCGUAGCUGGUCUGAGAGGAUGAUCAGCCACACUGGAACUGAGACACGGUCCAGACUCCUACGGGAGGCAGCAGUGGGGAAUAUUGGACAAUGGGCGCAAGCCUGAUCCAGCCAUACCGCGUGGGUGAAGAAGGCCUUCGGGUUGUAAGGCCCUUUUGUUGGGAAAGAAAAGCAGCAGGUUAAUACCCCGCUGUUCUGACGGUACCCAAAGAAUAAGCACCGGCUAACUUCGUG